AGAGUUUGAUCCUGGCUCAGAUUGAACGCUGGCGGCAUGCCUUACACAUGCAAGUCGAACGGUAACGCGGGGCAACCUGGCGACGAGUGGCGAACGGGUGAGUAAUACAUCGGAACGUGCCCAGUAGUGGGGGAUAGCCCGGCGAAAGCCGGAUUAAUACCGCAUACGACCUACGGGUGAAAGCAGGGGAUCGCAAGACCUUGCGCUAUUGGAGCGGCCGAUGUCAGAUUAGCUAGUUGGUGGGGUAAAGGCCUACCAAGGCGACGAUCUGUAGCUGGUCUGAGAGGACGACCAGCCACACUGGGACUGAGACACGGCCCAGACUCCUACGGGAGGCAGCAGUGGGGAAUUUUGGACAAUGGGGGCAACCCUGAUCCAGCCAUGCCGCGUGCGGGAAGAAGGCCUUCGGGUUGUAAACCGCUUUUGUCGGGGAAGAAACGGUCUGCGCUAAUACCGCGGACUAACGACGGUACCCGAAGAAUAAGCACCGGCUAACUACGUGCCAGCAGCCGCGGUAAUACGUAGGGUGCAAGCGUUAAUCGGAAUUACUGGGCGUAAAGCGUGCGCAGGCGGCUUUGCAAGACAGAUGUGAAAUCCCCGGGCUCAACCUGGGAACUGCAUUUGUGACUGCAUGGCUGGAGUGCGGCGGAGGGGGAUGGAAUUCCGCGUGUAGCAGUGAAAUGCGUAGAUAUGCGGAGGA
rnacentral:rRNA from 1 species